GAGGAUUGAUCGUUCUACCAUUUUCAUCAGUGACUGGUGGUUUGUAUGUUGUUGUCUCCGGUUUGACUGUAGGCCCGGGUUUGACUGUAGGCCCGGGUUUGACUGUAGGCUCGGGUUUGACUGUAGGCUUGUAUUUGAUAAUACAUUCAGGCUUUAUCAAAUUUCCAUGAAAACAAUGAAAUGUAUCCGGCAUUUUUUUCUCAUAACCGUUCU